rnacentral:rRNA from 1 species
AGUGAACGCUGGCGGUGGGCCUAACACAUGCAAGUCGAACGGCAGCACAGUAAGAGCUUGCUCUUACGGGUGGCGAGUGGCGGACGGGUGAGGAAUACAUCGGAAUCUACUUUUUCGUGGGGGAUAACGUAGGGAAACUUACGCUAAUACCGCAUACGACCUACGGGUGAAAGCAGGGGAUCUUCGGACCUUGCGCGAUUGAAUGAGCCGAUGUCGGAUUAGCUAGUUGGCGGGGUAAAGGCCCACCAAGGCGACGAUCCGUAGCUGGUCUGAGAGGAUGAUCAGCCACACUGGAACUGAGACACGGUCCAGACUCCUACGGGAGGCAGCAGUGGGGAAUAUUGGACAAUGGGCGCAAGCCUGAUCCAGCCAUACCGCGUGGGUGAAGAAGGCCUUCGGGUUGUAAAGCCCUUUUGUUGGGAAAGAAAAGCAGCAGGUUAAUACCCCGCUGUUCUGACGGUACCCAAAGAAUAAGCACCGGCUAACUUCGU